rnacentral:lncRNA from 1 species
AGAUAUGUGUUCGCAUCUUUUCAACAUGCCUGUUUUGCUGGGAAUCAUUUUAUGUUCACAUCUUUUUUUGUCGUGGCAAGAUUAUUGGUUUUGAAGUCAGACAGGUUUGGAUUUGAAUUUCACCUUUUUCGCUCUAGUUCUGCCAUCUUGAGCAAAUUGCUUGAUCUCCCCAGACCUCAGCUUGCUCAUCCGUGAAAUGUGUGAAACUGUAGUGCAGAGGUACUGUGCAGUUUUCUCCUUCAGAUUCCUGCUCACGGGUCACCUUUUCUGAGAGACCUUCCCUAACCACACUCCGCAGAAAGACACCCCUGCCCCAGUGCAUAGAUAGUAUCUAAUGUGAUGUCUGGUCCAUAAGGAAGGCUCAGUUCAUAAAUACACCCUUAUCUUUGUGGAGUCAACAGAGGAGGUGCUGAGAUUCAAGAACCUGGUGGGUUAAUAGUGUGCUUGGCUGGAUUAAUGAAAUCAAAACAUUGGACCCAGUGUAGACACAUAUAGUCUUGAAAAUAAGAUAAACUUGUCCAUUUGCAGAGGGCUCAGAGGAGUAGACCAAGUUGCUUGCUAACAAGCCAACAAGCAAGCAAACAAAUAAAAAUCAGUGUGGGCUCCACAGAAGG